ACGCACGCUGGCGGCGUGCUUAACACCUGCCAGUCGAACGGAAAGGCCCUGCUUUUGUGGGUGCUCGAGUGGCGAACGGGUGAGUAACACGUGAGUAACCUGCCCUUGACUUUGGGAUAACUUCAGGAAACUGGGGCUAAUACCGGAUAGGAGCUCCUGCUGCAUGGUGGGGGUUGGAAAGUUUCGGCGGUUGGGGAUGGACUCGCGGCUUAUCAGCUUGUUGGUGGGGUAGUGGCUUACCAAGGCUUUGACGGGUAGCCGGCCUGAGAGGGUGACCGGCCACAUUGGGACUGAGAUACGGCCCAGACUCCUACGGGAGGCAGCAGUGGGGAAUAUUGCACAAUGGGCGGAAGCCUGAUGCAGCAACGCCGCGUGCGGGAUGACGGCCUUCGGGUUGUAAACCGCUUUCGCCUGUGACGAAGCGUGAGUGACGGUAAUGGGUAAAGAAGCACCGGCUAACUACGUG
rnacentral:rRNA from 1 species